AUUGAACGCUGGCGGCAGGCCUAACACAUGCAAGUCGAGCGGAUGAAGGGAGCUUGCUCCUGGAUUCAGCGGCGGACGGGUGAGUAAUGCCUAGGAAUCUCCCUGGUAGUGGGGGAUAACGUCCGGAAACGGGCGCUAAUACCGCCUACGUCCUGAGGGAGCAAGCGGGGGAUCUUCGGACCUCACGCUCUCAGAUGAGCCUAGGUCGGAUUAGCUAGUUGGUGGGGUAAAGGCCUACCAAGGCGACGAUCCGUAACUGGUCUGAGAGGAUGAUCGGUCACACUGGAACUGAGACACAGUCAAGGCUCCUACGGGAGGCAGCAGUGGGGAAUAUUGGACAAUGGGCGACAGCCUGAUCCAGCCAUGGCGCGUGUGUGAAGAAGGUCUUCGGAUUGUAAAGCACUUUAAGUUGGGAGGAAGAGCAGUAAGUUAAUACCUUGCUGUUUUGACGUUACCAACAGAAUAAGCACCGGCUAACUUCGUG
rnacentral:rRNA from 1 species